rnacentral:pre_miRNA from 1 species
ACUUGAGUCACUGGGUGAACUUAUUAAAAUGCAGAAUCUGACUCAGUAGGUCUGGCGUGGCCCCAAGAUUCUGCAUUUCUAUCAAGCUCCUGGGUGAUGUAGAU